rnacentral:rRNA from 1 species
UACGUAGGGACCGAGCGUUGUCCGGAUUCAUUGGGCGUAAAGAGCUCGUAGGCGGCCACUCAAGUCGAAUGUGAAACCUCGAGGCUUAACCUCGAGCCUGCAUUCGAUACUGGGCGGCUAGAGUCUGGUAGGGGGAUCUGGAAUUCCUGGUGUAGCGGUGGAAUGCGCAGAUAUCAGGAGGAACACCGGUGGCGAAGGCGGGAUCCUGGGCCAGUACUGACGCUGAGGAGCGAAAGCUAGGGGAGCAAACGGG